AAGCAGGCAGUUAUCCCUUUCUAGCCUCCUUUCUAUGGCUCUAGAGGGAGUCAGCCUGCGAAAUGAAAUAAGGAAAACUGCAGCUUGCCCCCCAUGCAUUUUGGGUGUGUUUACCAGCUUUCCGAACAUCA